UAGGGACUUUGCUCUGUGUGCACUGAACAUCACAAGAACAAAUUAUCACGUACCUUGUGCUAGCUUCAGAGUAAAAUUGUACAUGAACCACUCCACAUGCGUGUGAAAAAAGGAUUACCGUGACCCUGCGUACACGGCAAGAUUUUAAUGAUUACUAGUUGUUCAUGUGAUGUUCUUGUACCUGAAAUAGUAAUGUUCUAUAUGUUCUCACAUCUGCAUUUCUGAUAUUAAAUGAAAAGGGCCUUAGAUGGUCCAGUAUUCUAGUUGAACUUUGUCUCGCUUCCACAUCCAAAAGGUUUCAGAUAACUAGAUGCGUCAGUUUCACUAAUGUGAUGUUGGAAUAAUUAGUUCAAGUCAGUUUGUGUAAAUUUAGUAGAAGAACUAUAUGCGGUGUGUAAUGGAUGGGGCCAUUGCUCAGUUGGUCCUAGUACAAUUCAGUGUCGCUACGGUCUUAUGGUAUUGAUCGUGGUAUUUUUAGGAGAUGAGGUUUUGGACUUGUGGUCUUUCUAGGAGCUCACGUGUGCAACUGUCGUCCCGGAGCAUGCAUAUGCCCUCCCAAAUAUUCAUGGGGCUUUCUGUUGGUUUGCUGAAUUUCCAUGUGUUGUAUAUCCAGUUCGAGGACGGGGCGUCGACCCGUUGGUUGGGCAGCUGAAGUUGCUGCCAGCCCAUCCGAGUUCGAGUCCUCGCUCGAACGCAUGGUGCUCGGGGAGCUUCUCCUAUAAAAAAAUGUCAACGAGGGUUAGCCCUUGGGUUGGUCUCAUUUAUUUUUUAUAUCCAGUUCUAUAUGACUAUACUAUGUAUAAAAUUCUGAAUGAGAAUUACUGUUAGAUCCAGGAAUUUGCUAGCAGUAAACCAUGUGGGCACUUAUGUUGUACCAUUUGCCGUGUUUACAAAGGGAAUUGGAGGCUCUGUGGUCAUUUCGACAUGCAUUAUGUAUUCCAUCAAUCUUGAAGUCAUCAAGAUGACUUUCUGUUCAUGCUAGUUGGACUGAUGAUUGAUUUGUACUCAAUCGCCCGAAAUGCUCUCCUCAUGAAGUGUAUCUACUGGUUGCUCCUGCUAAGUUGAUUUUUUUCGAUUCCUUUUGUGUAAACCUGGCGCACAAAGGAAACAAAUCUGUGCAAGUCUAUAUGUACUUCUACUUCUGUUGUCAUUUAUGCAUUUGGAUGCUUCUAGUAAAAAGGGUCACUCAUGUGUUUAAGAAGUUAGUUCGUGAUUCCAAAUGUGUGGAACGAUUUUAUGUUU